rnacentral:rRNA from 1 species
UCAGCUCGGUCAUCUCUCUGCCUGAUCUGAUCUGGUCUAGAGCAUCGCCCCAGAGGCCGGCGGAGGGGGAGGGCCCCGGUCGUGCGGGACGGCAGGCGGCCGCCGGACGAGCCAGCAGCCACUCAGGCACGUCGCCGGGCUUCUCCGCGCACGAGCGAGGUUCCCGCUUCCCCCUGCGCGGCCUAGAGCGCCCCGUUCACGCGGUCGCUGGACUCCAUGGAACCAUACCUUACUUCACUUCUCGCGUCUCAUAGAACCAGAAUGAUUAGUUACGUAGUAUAAUACACGCGUUAUUCUAAAACGAUACGAAAGUGGCAGCUACGGGUGACCAACCUAGUACGAAGACAAAUACUCGAGUAACUUCAUUGAGAGAGCAUCGAGUUUACCCGGUUAAGGAGUAAACGCACCGUGUGUUUUGGAAGUCGAUAGGUAGAGGUAUAGUCAACCAGAGAGAAUUAAAACAUUAGAAGACCUUUAUACGAAUUCAUAUUAUUUACUACACUUCCAUCUAGUAUCUUGUAGUUGUGUUAAGAAUUAGAUUUUGUUCUACCACAUCGGAUCAAAAACACUAAAUUGUGUUUAUCCUCCCGUGGGUACGUGGUUAUGGUACUUUUCGUCGUUUCUUUUACUCAUUUUCUCCGUGGACUGAACAUCUAAUAUGUUCUCACUACUAGACCUUCAGUUGGGAGAAAAUGGUCAUCAAACUAGAUGGAAGAGUAGAUAUCCUAAUCAAUAAUACAGAUUCGUACAAAAAUCUUCUAAUCUUCUAAUUCGUUCGAGUAAGCUAUACAUUCCACCUAUCAAACUCCAAAACAAAUAGUACUUUUUGUUCCCUAAUCGUUCAAACUCGAGCCACCAUCUUAACGAGUUACUCUAGCACUUAUCCUCGUACUAAGUUGGUUAACUGUAGUUACAACUAUUUCCGUACCUUUUUAGAAUAGCAUAUGUACUAUACCACUAACUAAAGUAUACGACUUCUUUUUGUGAAGACACCGUACCUCACUUUCGCCAGAUAGGUUUCCGUUCUACACUUCUAAUAGGUAGACUUUCUCGUACUGUCCACUUUAAAGACUAACGGUAGUCAUCCUCCUAACCGUGUUGACUCCGGAACGUUAUAGGAACGACUUCGAUGAACACAAGUCGCAAACUCCUAUAACUAGCCUCCGACUCUCAGGUCUUUUGACGUAAACGGAACCACAAACUAACAGUAAGAAGACAUUGUCUCUUGACUCUUGACUCUAAUUUGCAACCCUAAAAAGGUAGAUGAGCAACUUACUUUAAUACCGUCAUUACGAAACUAAAACUGUACUAAGAAAAAAGCCUUUUUACCUCCGUAAGGUAAAUAAAUAUAAUUAUUUCCUCGGUCUUCUCUCGGCCAUUUCUGCCUUGUCUUCGAGCACUGUACUAUAGGGGGCUAAUUAAAGACUACAGGGAUCUUUAAGAUCACAAGGAGAAUAGGUUUCGGUUAAGGCGACACUUUUGAGAUAAAAUGUGCUAAAAUACCACGAUCUUUCAUGACGAGGUCAAAACUUAAUACUCUACAAAAUUAAAAAACUUAGCUUACAUGUAUUUGUACAAAAUCACACUAACAAAUAAAUAAAGUCAGGCAUACAUCAGAUAUAACUUUACAGGUUUUGCAGAGCGCAAUUGGCAGUAAAAAAACGUACGAAGUUGUAACGUGUAUUGCACCAUUUAUAAUGUCAUGUACACCAACACACACGAAGACAUGAAUCUCAUUGGCUCGGCAAGUAUAAUUACGUACAGAAGAGUGCACCGUAACGUCCAUCGUCCUCGUGUACCUGAGGUGCCACGCUCGGAGGUCGAGGGGACGAAGAUCAGGCUGGUUCUGUAUCCAAGUUCCUGCGAAAUAUAAACAGAACGGAAGACAUUGUUGUACUUUGAGUGUACUAUAGAUGAAUACGGACUUAAGAAAAUAGUGAAGGCAGCUAAGUUCUUGGCAGUUCAAAGGCGGCGCGGAGGACGUAAUGCUACAUGACGACCAACCAAUUAAACGGAGGAAACUAAUAGACAAGGCGAAGAAGGAUUUAUCGUCGAAAGUCUUAAGUCUGAGCAAAUAAGGUCUGAACACCUUAUUCUUAAACAAGUAAAUUAUUCUAGAACACUUCAAAACGGAAUUUAAGAUCGACAACGCAAAAACAAAGAAGUAGUGGAACAGUGUCACCCACAAUCAC